rnacentral:lncRNA from 1 species
CGUUCGUCCGUCCGGUUAAAGUUUUUGGUCGAGGUAGUUUUUGAUGAAGCUGAAGUCCAAUCAACUUGAAACUUAAUACACAUGUUCCCCAUGAUAUGAUCUUUCUAAUUUUAAUGCCAAAUUAAAGUUUUGACCCCAAUUUUAUGGUCCACUGAACAUAGAAAAUGAUAGUGCAAAGUUCAGGUUAAAGUUUUUGGUCAAGGUAGUUUUUGAUGAAGUUAAAGUUACAUCAACUUGAAACUUAGUACACC